rnacentral:misc_RNA from 1 species
CCUAGAGUUGUAGGCUUUGCCUGCUAUCUCUUACCCAUGUCUUUUGAGUACCUUCGUUUCCUCGGCGGGUCCGCCCGCCGAUUGGACAAUUUAAACCAUUUGCAGUUGCAAUCUGCGUCUGAAAAAACUUAAUAGUUA